GAAACAGAUGCUUCUUGUCUCCAUGCCUGGAUGCUGCGGGGUUCACAACAUGUUGGGAAGCAGUCAGCCUGGAAAUGCCAAGCCAGCCACACUUCUUGAGAGCUUGCUAACUGGAUCCAUCUUUUCAAAAUGCACAUGUGUAUACCAACCCCUACAGGCAUCCCUGAGGUCCAUUGUUCCUGUCUUCCUUCAUGUCUUCAGGUCACUAAGAAUUUCAACGCAAUGAAAGAUAUGCCUUCUUACCAAGGCCAGCUACUACAGGAAUCCUGAUACUAUUAUUUUGCCACAUUCUGGGCCUUCACAGUAAUUGGAUUGAAAGGAGAAGUUGACAUUUUUUUCUGACCAGGAUUCUGCCAUGAAGCUGAGAGGGGACAGGUUGAGUGGGAAGCUACCAAGCUGGAUACUCAGGACCGCUUAGAGGAAGGCAAGGGUGGAGUCGGGUGUGGGGCGUGGUGCUGGCAGCCAGCAGCAGAUCCUGGUUUGUCUUUGUUCCACAAGGUGAUAGUGCAGGGUGUUAUAGGAGGCCUGACCAGAAGGACAUCAUAGUUGCUGGUCACGUAUUAGACUGGUUUUACUUCUAGGAUGAUUCUCAUUCAUACACGACAUGCUAGAUGGAAGUUGGGUCCUCAUUAGGCCGCAGUGUCUGUCUUUCUCCUUAAACACCCAUGGAAUCAGGUUCUCUACGUCAACUAGUUGUAGGUAUUUUAAGUUACGUUUUGCUAGGGAAGGAUUUUCCAAGACAAAAUAAAAGCAAGCUGGAAUUGUGAUAGAAAAUGCCAAGGAUAGCAAAAUUAGACUCCUUGAUAAUAAGACUAUUUCUUUUAUUAUUAAGUGUUUCUUUGAUAAAUAUUUACCAAAUAUCUUCAGUGACCCAAGCAAUAAGGAAGACAAUGCUCUGCCUAACCUUGUUGAUCUCAAUAUCAUGGGUACCCUCUCCUCUGAUUGGGUCAACCUGUGCAUGUUUGAAACUUUCUGCGUGAACAAGACUAUCCAAAACAACUGUAGCAGCUAAUAAUUUUAAUGAUGUGUCAAUCCAUUUACAUUCACUAGCUGAUUGUCUCCCUGUGCUUCUAUGUUUGACCUAAGUUUUUUGUUGUUGUUGUUGUUUUGUUUUUUUGUUUUUCUGAGACAGGUUUUCUCUGUGUAGCCCUGGCUGUCUUGGAACUCACUUUUUACAACGAUUUCUAGUCAUAUUAAACCUGCCCACCUUAGCUCUGAGGUCUAAGUUUGCGGUUUAAUUUUGGCUGUUGGACUUACUUUGAAUCUCUUUUCCUUAAGCUAUAAAUGAACCAUCAAACCCCACAUCUGUAGUUCAUCUUAGGCACAUAGUAGGCACUUUAAUAGGUUCUGACUGAGCGAACACGGAUGGAGCUUAGUCAGUACCAUCAUCAGCUAGAUCAUGAGUGAAGCAUCUCAGGUUUUACUGCAGUGACCUGAAGGCAUCACUCAGUCCUGAUACGCUGUGUGUGUUUCUCACACUUUUAGGUUUUUUUUUCCGGAAAGAAUAAAAUUCUAGUAGUGGUAUUACGAUGGAAUAGUACAAACAGAACUAGCAAAUGGCCGGGUUCUGUGAAGUCCCUUCCCGGACAGCUCAGAGCCAGCGGAUUGCAUCAUAUAUAUAACAACCACACAAAACCCUCUAAAAUAACACAGAACUCAGAGUACUCGAACAUUUAUAAAGUAUUUUAAAUUAAUUUUUAAUGAGUUUUAAUAUUUUAAUAUUAUACUUGAUCUUAAGUAAGAAAGUUGCUCUUGUUUUAGGCUGUGGUGUACAAUAUUACUUCAUGGGAUAGCAUUUAAUUAAAAUACAUUAAUUUAUGUGUUUGUUUAUUAGCUUUACCCCUAAAGCAGAAAGAACCACUGCACAAUUUUAUGAAAAAUGCAGAUGAGGAUGUUGGCAUCCCUAAUAAAUGUAAAUGAGAAUAGGUAAACAUGUAUGCUUUUAUUUUACCUAAGAAAGAGGGUAUUGGUUUGACAUACAAUAAAGAUCACUUCUUAGUGAAAAGAUUAAACUCCCAUGGAAACAAUCUUUAAUUUUUGUAAUUUCCUUUGGCUUUAUUAGGUUUUUACCUGAUUUGUUCUUGUCUGAAAACGUUUUCCCUCAUUUCUGUAAUUCCUGGAGUCAUUUUGUUGCAAGGAUAUUAUAGGGUAAAUUUUGUUUCAAACAUUUGGAAAUAGUUAGCUACCCUCAUUCUGUAUGGCCCACUUCGAGUAUUGACGUAACAAAUGAGAAACACCUUAUUGAAUCUGACAUGUUCUUUGCUGAUUUGGUUUGCCCCUAACUUAGAUUUUAUGCUCCUCAAGACUGGGGCCUGGUUGUUGUGAACUUUCGCUCUGGUUUUGAACACCCGUCAUACUUGCAGAAUAAGCAAGGAUGUUCUAACCUUCACCUUAUUAUGAUGGGACUCACCAGCUUAUUUUUCCUUUUAUGCAAAUUUUGUUUUAGUUUAUGGAUGUAGGCAUAGAGAAGAAAAGCAAGAAGCAACAACACCACCACUUUUUGUAGAGUUUUGUCUCAAUAUUCUAGAUGCUAGCAUCUAGCUAGCACUCCAACACCUAUUGUUUGAACUGACUCAUAUGCCAUGGAUAGCCCUUUAGAAAUACUGUAUUUCUCCUUUAAACAAAUAUUCUAUAGAAAAGUAGACUCAGAAUGUAUUAGAGGUAGAACUGCCCUGUGAUGCUUCCCAUUCUCCCUUUGUUAGUUAUUUAUAUUCACACUUCUUCACUUCACCACAUCCCUUGGUAAACAGCUUGCAGGGGGCUUGAUGUUUGUUAAUGAACUGUCAAUAAACACAUGUUCUUCCCAACUUCUUAAAAAACACUAUUUUGGGGGGUGCGGUGGGGGCAAAUGUGCUGGUUUCCAAUUCCUGUCUGCACUCUGGAGACAUAGAAGAGUCUUGGCUGAGCGUAGGGCCUCGGAGCUGGGUAAGGCAGCCUGUCACGUGUGCAGGCACAGUCCCUGCACAGGCCUGGAGGAAAGUGGCAGAUUUUGAUAGAGAUCGUGCCAGCCGCUUGUAGGGAGAAGUCGGAAAGUGUUUGGAAACAGCUCUGUUAGCAUGUUGCCCGCUCCCCAGCCCCAGCCCCCGGCCGCCCCAAAGCUGAAGGAGAGAGUGUGCCAAAGAACAAAAGGCAAACUAUAAGAGGACUUUACUGAUGUAGAAGCUGACCUGUCCAGGUUUGAGAGGAGACAGACUAACCUCUCUCUCUCUCUCUCUCUCUCUCUUGAUGACUUGGUCUCUUUACUCUGUAGCUAAAUAUCUCCACCGAAGAGGCUCCCAAGACUCUGAUACGUGUGUGUGUGUGUGUGUGUGUGUGUGUGUGUGUGUGAUCUUUAGGCUUCCAGAAACACCUCACUUUCUCCCCCUCCCCCGUCCCCCGCCCCAAUGCGGGCAUUGGGAGAGCAAUGCCAUCUGAGGAGUGGGGGCUGUGAGCCCAAAGCACACCUACCCCUUUCUUUUGGGCACCCACCUGAGCUACAAAUGAAUGCAAGAAACUUAGAACUGCCUUUAACCAAAACCAUUUAUAAUUUAAUUGGUGUUAUUACCACCAUCUAUUCAUUUUGGAACAAAUUGUCCCAAGAGCAAUGAUUCUGGAAGUUUUUGCUUUGGGAAAAAAAUGGUGAACUCACUGGGUUCCUUGGUCAUUUUUUUUUUUCCUUAAAAAUUUUAUGCAUUGUUAGGGAAGAAAAGUCUAGUCUAACUCACAAAUGCAUCCUUAUUCUCAUGUAUAUUUGAUACUGGCCCCAGUCUAAUCUGAUAAAGUGCACUUUGCCUGUGGUGUCUUACAAUAAGCCGGCUGCAUUAGUGCCGGGAAAAAUCAAUACCGAUUUAUAAUUUACCAUCGCAAAAACCUAUCACUUUUUAUGACCCUCCAUCCUGGCUCAUUAAUAUUACAUUAAAACACACACACCCACUGAAACAGGGGGGAACUGUAGCUUGUCAGGCUUCCAGCCACU
rnacentral:lncRNA from 1 species